GCCCCCGCGCAUGCGUAGAAUGCCGGGCCGGGCGGCGGGUGCUGGAGUACCAGGCUCAGGAGGAGAGGCGUCUAGGGAGGUGUCCACUCGUAAACUAGCAGUUUGCCGGACCGCGUUUGCUGAUCCACUGUGAAAUCCCUGCGCCGCUUUUACAUUACAGUGCCCAGGACAGCAGCUAAGCUGUUUAGGGGUCAAAAUGUUUUCUACUGGCAAGUUAUCAUAGCAAGUGUCACUUGUUGCCACUGGACUCCAUCCUGCAAAGGGACAUUUAUCUGUGUCGUACAAAAUCAUAACUAGUAUUCAAACCAACAACUGUGAUAAAAUGCAACUAUUUUGGCCCCUUAGUCAUUUUAAAAUUUAUUCAAUGCUAUUUACCUUCUUUCCACUGAUGGAAAGUUAGGUAGAAUCCUUGAAUUUUCUCCUUGUUCCUAUAUAUCUGAUGAUCUGACAGUAAUUUGUAGUGGAAGCUUCAUCCCAAAUUAUAUUGAGUGAAGACAAACAAAUAUGAAAAACUUCACUUGAAAUUAAGUCUUCAUUUCCAUAUCUCCACCCUAGGCUUAUGGUCUAUAGCAGCCCUGAAGAGAUGCAGUUAGCUUAAGUUUGCCCUCUUCUAUCCCCUAGAGUGGCAAGGAUAAACCCUUUAGAGUUUUCAAGAAUAACAAACAGCCAGCAGAGACACACAUGCCAUAAGUUUGCACCACUGCCCCAGAGACUGUUUAAGAUAGCAUGGAGGGGGCUGGGGAUUUAGCUCAGCCGCAUAAGCGCCUGCCUUGCAAGCCUGUGGUUGUGAGUUUGAUCCCUGGUACCAGUAAAAGUACAAAAAAAAAAAAAAAAAAAAAAAGAUAGCAUGGAACCUAGUGGGUAGAGAGAGAGAAGAGAGGAAAGAAAAAAAAGCCUUCUUCCUGGGUUUGAGUGGCCUUGAGCUUGCUGACCCAUAUUCAUAUUUGGAUGUUUCCUGGACUCUGGAUACUUUGCUUAUGAGGACCUGUGUCCUGGGGACUCCUGACCCAAUAGGAACAAUACUAUUCACUAGUUGCCUCUGUUUGCUGCCCUGUACCUAAAUCUCAAAGGGUCGCUCCAGCUUCCACUGGCCCAAGGAAAACCUCAUACAUCUCCAGGGACUCUGAGGUGUAGGCUUAUUCCACAAGCCUCCUGUGUUGCUACCACAGGAUUCCUGUCCCUGGUGAGCCCACCUGGUUCGAGUCACAUCUCUCACUGAUAUGAGACAGACAUAUGACUCCAUAUUUCUCUCUCAAAAAGCAUUUUUCUCACACAUCCUCCCCUACCACUCUCUGGCCCCUUAUGGUCGGAUUCAGAAUGGACAAGGGGUCCAGAAGGGUGGUGAGGGUCUGUAUGUUUCAUUGUAUCCUGCCCCUUUGUGCUCCGCCUCACCCUCACUUUGAAACCAGUAAUUACACAAUUACCAUCUCAGUUGAAAUAGCCUAAAACCUUGUUGGACAGCAGUCACUAGCUAUGCUCUUGUGCCUAGGGUCUUGUCUAAAGUGACCUUGUAAGUAUGCUACUGGAACCUCCAGCAAGCAGCCCAGAAGGCCAGGAUGUAUCUGUCAGGCAAGCCAGUACAGUUGAAAGGGGUGACAAGGGCAGAAUUCUAGGAAUCUGCUACUUGAAGCAAGAAAGCUGUGCGGCUUACUUCACUGAAGAGUACUAUACAGGAAAAUAUUUAGGCUAACACACCAGUGACCUGUGUAUUAUGCCUGUGUGCCUCCACGGUUGCUUGAUGGCUGUUUGCAGAAUUUUACAUAGGUAGGCUUUGUAAGUAGAAUUUUUUUAGAAAUAAGUGUCAGGCCAGGGAUUUAGCUUAGCAUCACAGCAUCUGUCUUGCAAGCAUGAGGGCAUGAAUUUGAUCCCGGUAUCAAAAAAAAAAAAAAAAAAACUCUUAUAUAGAAAUAAAUGUCAACAUAUUUUGUAUACCUUAGAGAGAUUAAAGACAAAAUGUUAGUUAUAAUUUCCAAAUUACUUUCAUUUGAAACACUUCAUUUCUGUUGUUCAUUUGGAGUUUAAAAUAAGUCCAGAAGAAUAAUUCAAGUAUUAUUAUCUCCACCUAAAAGUGAAGUGGAGGUUCAGAGAGGUUAAGGGUCUGCCCAUAGACACACAGCGAAUAAAGGCCUGAGGCCUGAUGGUCUUGAUGCCAAGUCCAGCGUGCUGUCCUACCAUGGUCCAUGUGUAGAUACUUUUUCAAGUCAGUGCUCUUCAUCCGUAUGAAGGAGAGCUACUUCCUGGGCUGCAGGAGCUCUAGACAUCAAGAAGAAUUUAAGAAUGUUUAUAGCCACUUGAAAAUACCUGCAGGAUUUCUGGAUUUCAAGUUAAGAGAAUUAUAUGGGUGGUGGACUGUGUAAUGACAUAAUCUUAUUCACUCUUGGAUGUGUAAAAAAUUCAACAAAAUGAUAAACUUACAGAUGUUGUUUGUCUGCAGACUUAGCAAUUACAUCAUAGUUUACAUCACAUAUUCCUCAUAGUUAAUAUCUAUAGGCUCUCUUGAUUAAUCUACUAGAUAUGUUCUUGAAAAAUACAGGCUAAAUAAACACUUCAUUAAUGCUCACAA